AUCACCAAAAGUGGACCUUAUCAGAAUAACAGUUCACCUGUUUGCAACGCAACUUUUCCCAACCCUCCUGGUCCCAUCACAGUGCAAUCUCAGACGGUUAAUUCCAUCAACUUCACCUGGACCCUUCCACAGAACAUGAGCCACAAGCAAUACAACUUUAGUGUCACCACCACUAACAACACCUUUGUGACAAAAGACAACUGGUUCCUGCUGGGAAACCUCCCAUCUGGAAGCCCCUACACCAUCUCUGUUGUUACUGUGGGUGUGAUGGGAUAUAACAGUGUAUCAGUGACAACAGUAAACUAUACCAGACCAUUUCCUGUAUCAGAUCUGACUCAGACAGAAAUAACUACAAAUGCAGUGACCUUGGUGUGGACACAGCAGGAGAGCAAAUUAAGCUACUCUUAUCAGGUGCAGGUCA